GAUGAACGCUGGCGGCGUGCCUAAUACAUGCAGUCGAGCGAACAGAUAAGGAGCUUGCUCCUUUGACGUUAGCGGCGGACGGGUGAGUAACACGUGGGUAACCUACCUAUAAGACUGGGAUAACUUCGGGAAACCGGAGCUAAUACCGGAUAAUAUUUCGAACCGCAUGGUUCGAUAGUGAAAGAUGGUUUUGCUAUCACUUAUAGAUGGACCCGCGCCGUAUUAGCUAGUUGGUAAGGUAACGGCUUACCAAGGCGACGAUACGUAGCCGACCUGAGAGGGUGAUCGGCCACACUGGAACUGAGACACGGUCCAGACUCCUACGGGAGGCAGCAGUAGGGAAUCUUCCGCAAUGGGCGAAAGCCUGACGGAGCAACGCCGCGUGAGUGAUGAAGGUCUUCGGAUCGUAAAACUCUGUUAUUAGGGAAGAACAUACGUGUAAGUAACUGUGCACGUCUUGACGGUACCUAAUCAGAAAGCCACGGCUAACUACGUGCCAGCAGCCGCGGUAAUACGUAGGUGGCAAGCGUUAUCCGGAAUUAUUGGGCGUAAAGCGCGCGUAGGCGGUUUUUUAAGUCUGAUGUGAAAGCCCACGGCUCAACCGUGGAGGGUCAUUGGAAACUGGAAAACUUGAGUGCAGAAGAGGAAAGUGGAACUCCAUGUGUAGCGGUGAAAUGCGCAGAGAUAUGGAGGAACACCAGUGGCGAAGGCGACUUUCUGGUCUGUAACUGACGCUGAUGUGCGAAAGCGUGGGGAUCAAACAGGAUUAGAUACCCUGGUAGUCCACGCCGUAAACGAUGAGUGCUAAGUGUUAGGGGGUUUCCGCCCCUUAGUGCUGCAGCUAACGCAUUAAGCACUCCGCCUGGGGAGUACGACCGCAAGGUUGAAACUCAAAGGAAUUGACGGGGACCCGCACAAGCGGUGGAGCAUGUGGUUUAAUUCGAAGCAACGCGAAGAACCUUACCAAAUCUUGACAUCCUUUGACAACUCUAGAGAUAGAGCUUUCCCCUUCGGGGGACAAAGUGACAGGUGGUGCAUGGUUGUCGUCAGCUCGUGUCGUGAGAUGUUGGGUUAAGUCCCGCAACGAGCGCAACCCUUAAGCUUAGUUGCCAUCAUUAAGUUGGGCACUCUAAGUUGACUGCCGGUGACAAACCGGAGGAAGGUGGGGAUGACGUCAAAUCAUCAUGCCCCUUAUGAUUUGGGCUACACACGUGCUACAAUGGACAAUACAAAGGGCAGCGAAACCGCGAGGUCAAGCAAAUCCCAUAAAGUUGUUCUCAGUUCGGAUUGUAGUCUGCAACUCGACUACAUGAAGAUGGAAUCGCUAGUAAUCGUAGAUCAGCAUGCUACGGUGAAUACGUUCCCGGGUCU
rnacentral:rRNA from 1 species